UCUCUCUCAAUCUCAAACACACUGAUGGCGUCCUGUGGCGUGAGGUUCCUGAACUCGCUGGCGGGGAGGGUGUGUCGCCUCUGUCGCAGGGGGCUCACCACUCUGACAGGCGUCUUCAGAAAGAAGGGCUUGAGAAACGCCUUUUCCAAUAUAAAUUUUAUACUGAUGCUGUAAAUGCAGUCAAAAAAACACCACAACGGGGAAUCUCUCACAUCAUCUGGACAGCUGGCUAAUCAGAAAUAGGAGAACAUCUCUGCUCGUGAGAUUAUCAGAUGUUAGAGGUGAACACAUACACGGAUGUCCAGAGAUGAAAUGACCUUCUCUGACCUGCGACUCUGUCAAUCUGUGUGGCCUGUGAGGGGAGGGGCAGUCUGAAAUAAUUCUUCAUGGCCUCCUAAAACAGCCUGUUGUAGCCAGCUGAAUGACAAGGUUGAGUUCUGAGAAUCCCAGAAACAUGUUUAAGCUUUUCAGACAAGCUAAUACAUUUAAAAAGAGUUUAGGAAAGGAGACUGGACUUUGUGAAUGCAAUAUAUGAGUCAAACCCUAAUCUCAUUUACCGCGUGUGUGUAUACACAUAGACUUGCGCACACAUUUUCUCAGUGUAUUAUGUUUUUACAGGAAAGCCUGAGGCUACAGUGAAACUGAAUCCUCAUUAAACUUUACACUGGCAUGCACCUGUUGGUCCAGCUGAGCAAAGAGCAACAGUUAACUAUUACUGCAGAAGAAUGUCAUUAUGUUUGAAAUCUAGAUUUUCAGAGCACCCAGUAGCUAGAAAAAUUAUCCCAAAAUGAACGUAAUAUCAGGCUAAUAUAUGUGUGUUUCAUCUGCACUAAAUAAAGCAUAUAUGCAUUCAAGAUUAGACCUAAUGCUAUAGAGGAGAUCACAUACAAUGAAAAAUACAUUCUCCUGUUUUAUUUUGUAUACUUACAUAUAACCUAUAAAUAACACUCUCUAUUGUAAUCAAAUGAAAAAUAAAACCGCAUUGAAUUGUGUUACAAUUUUAAAGGUACAAUCCAUAAUUUUCUAACCAUAUAAAUGACAUGUAUCUAUAUAUAUUUGCAGUAUCCAGCAUUAUGUAAUAUUUAUGUAUAUAAUAAUUUCUGAUGUAAACUAAUCUUUAAUAGCAUAAUAAAACAUGAAUAUAAACCUUUGUUGUCUAGUGAUGUGUAAAAGAUAUGUUACUGCAUUUGGUGAUAGUAGGUUACAAUCUUGUGUUUGGUAAUGGGGGCAACAUUUCUUUUAACAGAACUGAUUCUUUUGCCCUCAAUAUGUGUGUCGGUGCACAGCUAUGCAGCUACCUAAACACACUUCCAAUAAAAGUUGAAGACAGCGGAUUGUUGUUCCAGUUUUUACUGGAAGCAAUUGUGAAACUGUGAAAAGUAUUGGACACAAAUUCAGUGAUAGGGAAUGCAAAACAGAAAACGAUGAGAUUUCAUAAACAAGUUUGACCAAUGUGUAUUGUAAGAGUUAACCUAACUAGGAAACUGGAUUCACAAAAGUAUAGACUAGCUGUCAAAUUAGCAACAUAGUGCUUCAAAGUAAAAAGAAUGGAUAUCCCAACAGUAAUUCAACCGUUAGUUAGCUAGAAUGCUGCAUUAGCAACGCAUUAGUUCCAGACAGCCAGCUUGUAUAGUGGCUAGCUUGGUUAGCACUAAGCUGAUCAUAGAAAAACUAAUUUC